rnacentral:lncRNA from 1 species
UUGAAACUUUUCAAUAUAUUAAAGAUCUUCCAACUGGGUUACAAGAAGAACGCGACAGUGUAGUUGAAAACGAACAGACCUGUCACCCGGAAACCACGACAGAAAUAUCAAACCGACGACGACCUUGACGGAACCACAAAUCUCCCCGAAAACCUCAGACUACGACCUCAAACUCCGUUGGUUCAACGCUGCAGCUGCUGAUGCACCACCAACGUGUGCUAAAGCAGUAGCAACAGUAGGUAUCGAGAGAAGAAUAUUGACUAGCAAAGUGUCAGGAACAUUUUGGAGGAGGGUCGCUGGUCCCUUUCUCCGUUUUCUUUGCUUGUCGCCGCUGAUGCUCUCUUCUAAAGAGAGAGUGACGAUGGAGAGUGUCUCGCUGCUCGUCUCCCAGUGAACCAGAGGAUUAGGA